rnacentral:rRNA from 1 species
AGUGAACGCUGGCGGCGUGCCUAAUACAUGCAAGUCGAACGGAGUGGCGCACGGGUGAGUAAUAUAUAGCUAAUCUGCCCCUUGCUGGAGGACAACAGUUAGAAAUGCCUGCUAAUACUCCAUAGCAAGGGAUGAGACUAUAUCGUAUCAGCUAGUCGGUGGGGUAACGGCCUACCGAGGCUAUGACGCGUAACUGGUCUGAGAGGAUGAUCAGUCGCAUCGGAACGGAGACACCGUCCAAACUCCUUCGGGAGGCAGCAGUAGGGUAUCUUGCGCAAUGGGGGAAACCCUGAAGCAGCAACGGCGCGUGGAGGAUGAUAGUUUGCGGAGCGUAAACUCCUUUUGUUAGGGAAGCGGUACCUAACGAAUAAGCACCGGCUAACUCCGUGCCAGCCGCCGCGGUAAUAC